rnacentral:rRNA from 1 species
AGUGAACCCUGGCGGUAGGCCUAACACAUGCAAGUCGAACGGCAGCACAGUAAGAGCUUGCUCUUACGGGUGGCGAGUGGCGGACGGGUGAGGAAUACAUCGGAAUCUACUUUUUCGUGGGGGAUAACGUAGGGAAACUUACGCUAAUACCGCAUACGACCUACGGGUGAAAGCAGGGGAUCUUCGGACCUUGCGCGAUUGAAUGAGCCGAUGUCGGAUUAGCUAGUUGGCGGGGUAAAGGCCCACCAAGGCGACGAUCCGUAGCUGGUCUGAGAGGAUGAUCAGCUACACUGGAACUGAGACACGAUCCAGACUCCUACGGGAGGCAGCAGUGGGGAAUAUUGGACAAUGGGCGCAAGCCUGAUCCAGCCAUACCGCGUGGGUGAAGAAGGCCUUCGGGUUGUAAAGCCCUUUUGUUGGGAAAGAAAAGCAGCAGGUUAAUACCCCGCUGUUCUGACGGUACCCAAAGAAUAAGCACCGGCUAACUUCGUG